GAGGAAUGUGGCUCAGAGGAAGAACAUCUGCUUUGCAUGCAGAAGGUCCCAGGUUUGAUCCCCAGUGGUGUCCUCA